GUCUUAGUCAUUCACCAAGUUUCAUUUGCAAGGGCCAACAUCCAUAGUAACUAUCAACUUACGGACAUACAUCUGCAAGUAUUUUAAACCAUGGCCGGUGCGUCCUUCGCUAACCUUGUGCUGCCUCCGCACUUGCACAAGCCGUUGGCUCCCAUCUGCUGUCCGCGUUUUGUACCUCCUGAAUGCUGCCCGUCUUAUUGCCCAGAGGAGUAUAAACCUGUCUGUGCCACUGACUGCCACCAUCUGCGGACUUUUGCUAACAUUUGUUUCAUGCAUGCUACAAACUGCCUGGAAAAUACGAGAUACCGCAAAGUCUAUGACGGAAAAUGCCCGAACAGCCACCCAAUGCUCCAGUUCCAUGAUAAAGAAAUUGAGUGGAUGUAAAAAUGAAACUUGUAACAUUUUGAAUGAAUAAAAUAGUCU